rnacentral:rRNA from 1 species
AUGAUUUUUGAAAUUAAUAAAAAAUAUUGCCGAAAGAAUCAAGUGAAGGGGGCCCACACCCUAGCCACAAGGGUGGGGGGUGCGCCAUCCAUCCUUGUGGGCCCCCUGGACCUCCACCGACCUCAACUCCAACUCCAUAUAUUCACGUUCGGGGAGAAACAAAUUAGAGAGAAGGAUUCAUCGCGUUUUACGAUACGGAGCCGCCGCCAAGCCCUGUUCUUCCUCGGGAGGGCAGAUCUGGAGUUCGUUCGGGGCUCCGGAGAGGGGAAUACGUCGCCAUCGUCAUCAUCAACCAUCCUCCAUCACCAAUUUCAUGAUGCUCACCGCCGUGCGUGA